CAUUGAGAGUUGCAAGCUGCGCAGCAGCAUAUUCAUUUGAUCUCAGGUACUGAAGAUACAAGGGAUCCAUAAGGGGCACCUGAAGAGCAUUACCUGAAGCGUGAUUUCCAACUCUGCUGAGAUUCUGUAAUUCUGGAGCAGCAGCCAUUAAAUUUGGUCCCAAUGCAUUCAAUGAUCUAGAAUCCAACCCAGUUCCUCCCAGUGCAGAUGCAGCAGCAACAUUUUCAAAUAACGGUGGUAAACCACCACUCCCAAGCUGGCUUCCCAU
rnacentral:lncRNA from 1 species